GACGAACGCUGGCGGCGUGCCUAAUACAUGCAAGUCGAGCGAAUGGAUUAAGAGCUUGCUCUUAUGAAGUUAGCGGCGGACGGGUGAGUAACACGUGGGUAACCUGCCCAUAAGACUGGGAUAACUCCGGGAAACCGGGGCUAAUACCGGAUAACAUUUUGAACCGCAUGGUUCGAAAUUGAAAGGCGGCUUCGGCUGUCACUUAUGGAUGGACCCGCGUCGCAUUAGCUAGUUGGUGAGGUAACGGCUCACCAAGGCAACGAUGGGUAGCCGCCCUGAGAGGGUGAUCGGCCACGCUGGGACUGAAACACGGCCCAGACUCCUACGGGAGGCAGCAGUAGGGAAUCUUCCGCAAUGGACGAAAGUCUGACGGAGCAACGCCGCGUGAGUGAUGAAGGCUUUCGGGUCGUAAAACUCUGUUGUUAGGGAAGAACAAGUGCUAGUUGAAUAAGCUGGCACCUUGACGGUACCUAACCAGAAAGCCACGGCUAACUACGUGCCAGCCGCCGCGGUAA
rnacentral:rRNA from 1 species